rnacentral:rRNA from 1 species
UAAUACGGAGGAUCCAAGCGUUAUCCGGAUUUAUUGGGUUUAAAGGGUGCGUAGGCGGCCUAUUAAGUCAGGGGUGAAAGACGGUAGCUCAACUAUCGCAGUGCCUUUGAUACUGAUGGGCUUGAAUAUACUAGAGGUAGGCGGAAUGUGACAAGUAGCGGUGAAAUGCAUAGAUAUGUCACAGAACACCGAUUGCGAAGGCAGCUUACUAUGGUAUUAUUGACGCUGAGGCACGAAAGCGUGGGGAUCAAACAGG